rnacentral:rRNA from 1 species
UACGUAGGGGGCUAGCGUUGUUCGGAUUCAUUGGGCGUAAAGGGUGCGUAGGUGGCGCCGUAAGUCGGGUGUGAAAUUUCGGAGCUUAACUCCGAAACUGCAUUCGAUACUGCGGUGCUUGAGGACUGGAGAGGAGACUGGAAUUCAUGGUGUAGCAGUGAAAUGCGUAGAGAUCAUGAGGAAGACCAGUGGCGAAGGCGGGUCUCUGGACAGUUCCUGACACUGAGGCACGAAGGCCAGGGGAGCAAACGGG